rnacentral:rRNA from 1 species
UAGGGAAUCUUCCACAAUGGACGCAAGUCUGAUGGAGCAACGCCGCGUGAGUGAAGAAGGGUUUCGGCUCGUAAAGCUCUGUUGUUAAAGAAGAACACGUAUGAGAGUAACUGUUCAUACGUUGACGGUAUUUUAACCAGAAAGCCACGGCUAACUACGUGCCAG